ACGAGGGCGGUGGCAGCCCGAGCAGGCGUGGGGCAGCCCUGCCCUGCAUGGAGGAGCCCCAUGGCACGGGGCAGGCUGUGUCCGUGGCCUGGGCGGACGGCCCCGGCGCACGGGAUCGACAUCCGGACGGGGAGCGAGAGGGCAGCAAGGCUCCCCCCAGUAAAACGGAGUUUCAGAUGAUGGAGGGGACGCUGGAGAGGAAGCACGUUCUGCAGACAGGAGGUAGAAAGGCGACCUGCCGCGCCUGGAGCCUGUUCCACGCGGUGCUGAUGAGGCAGACGCUGUGCUUCUAUCAGGACCGGAGGGACAGCCUCAAGAGCUCUGUGGUGGCCCUUCCCCUGAACCUCUCCGGGGCGAUCUGCACCCCUGACACAGAGUACACCAAAAAGACCAACUGCUUCAGACUACAGCUACGGGAUGGCUCUGAGUAUCUUCUGAGGGCCCCAUCCCAGCUGCUCAUGAAUGAGUGGGUCUCCAAGCUGCAGCAGAACUCAGGUUUCCCCGAAGUGGAUUACUUCCAGGCAGCAGCACAGAGUGUCGAGGGCGCCAGCUCUGCUGUGGGUUUCAGCAAGGUCCCUGGGCCUGGAAGCUGCCAACUCCAGGGACACCCUCAGGCUGUGACUGCCAAGAACCAAGAGGUCGUGGUGCUACCCUGCUCAAAUACCAGGCUGCAGCUGCCUUUCGGGAGCCAGGAUGGCCCAGUGGACGUGGCAGCGUCCUCAGCAGAGGGUGUUCGUGGAGCUGCCAGUCACUCAGCCGGGCACAGGGAGCACCAGUGGUCACCCAGUGGGUCCCCUGGGUCAUGGGACAACAGCUGCCCAGAUGACGACUAUGGGUUGGUGGCUAACAAGAGGAGGUCCUACUCAUUCACCUCAGCCACCUACCAGAAGAUCACGCCCGUGGCGGUGCCCAAGGAGCCCAUGGAGGCCGGGAGCAGGUACUCCGUCACGGCGGAACACGCCCCGCCCGCCCCCGGGACGCGCUGCCACUCAUUUGUGGCCAGGCCGGGGAGCCCGCGGGAGGUGCUGGGGGAGAAGACCCAGGGCCCCCCUCGCCCCAAGAACAAAUCUGUCUUCAAGAAGUUCUUUGGGAAGAAGGAGUGAGCCCCAGACGAGGGGGAGAAAAGCAAAAGCCUGCCCCUUUUCCUCCUCUCAGGCCUGCUUCAGGUGCAACCUUAUUAAGGUCUCUCUUCCCAGCACCAGCCCUCACUGCUCACUGUCGCCUUGGGGCGCUCAGCACCACGAGGGGGAGAGACGCUGCAGCAAGCGGCUCUGCUUCAGCACAGUCCCAGGGGCUGCACCUCACCCCCAGCCACCGCCGCUGCCUUCCUCAGCCAGGCGAUGAGACCCCCGUCUGNNNNNNNNNNNNNNNNNNNNNNNNNNNNNNNNNNNNNNNNNNNNNNNNNNNNNNNNNNNCCUGCCGCCGGUUCAGCUGGAUUCCCCAGGCAUCCCACCUACACGCAGCACAAGCAGGGUUGGGGGUGGGUGUUGUUAUUUUUAUUAAAAAACAAACAAACGCUUAAUCUGGGAGCGUCUUCCUCCAGCAUUGCCACUGCUGGGGGCCAGUGCCUGCACUGCCAACAGAGAAGGAGGGGGCUUUGCAAGGUGGCCAUUGCUAAGGGGGGUUGGUGGUAGCUUCAACCGCCAAGAGGGGCUCCCCCAGACUGGGUUCAAUCCUGCACAGGGAUGCGGUCUGAGGCGCCUGGCCUUUCUCACAAGGAAGCUUUGUCCUGUGGUUUCCCUGUGCUUGCAUCUAGCUCAGCUAAUCCCACGUGGCGUCUGGGCCCCUUUUCCCUGCCCUGGGAGCUCAGUGGACCAGGGGGAAGUCACUACCUGGAGAGCAAAUCCUGCCUGCGGAGCCCAGGGUCCACGCAGCCCUGCCUGGCAUGCUCAGGGUAGAGGCAGCUCCCAUCUUUUCCUUCCUCGCUCGCAGGCUGGCCCUGGCCCAAGUCACCGCAUCGGUGGUAUGUGGCUUGGAGGUGGCCAGGGUAGUUUGGCUGGACCCAGGGAUCCCCGAUAUUUUGCAAUAGCUUCUCUUAGGUUAUACCGGCAUCAGCCACUCCAGUUCCUGUCCGUGCUGGGAAGGGGAAAUAGCGGCUUGCCC
rnacentral:lncRNA from 1 species